AUUGAACGCUGGCGGCAGGCCUAACACAUGCAAGUCGAGCGGACGAAGGGAGCUUGCUCCUGGAUUCAGCGGCGGACGGGCGAGUAAUGCCCAGGAAUCUGCCCGGUAGUGGGGGAUAACGUCCGGAAACGGGCGCUAAUACCGCACACGUCCUGAGGGAGAAAGUGGGGGAUCUUCGGACCUCACGCUAUUAGAUGAGCCUAGGUCGGAUUAGCUAGUUGGUGGGGUAAAGGCCUACCAAGGCGACGAUCCGUAACUGGUCUGAGAGGAUGAUCAGUCACACUGGAACUGAGACACGGUCCAGACUCCUACGGGAGGCAGCAGUGGGGAAUAUUGGGCAAUGGGCGAAAGCCUGAUCCAGCCAUGCCGCGUGUGUGAAGAAGGUCUUCGGAUUGUAAAGCACUUUAAGUUGGGAGGAAGGGCAGUAAGUUAAUACCUUGCUGUUUUGACGGUACCAACAGAGUAAGCACCGGCUAACUUCGUG
rnacentral:rRNA from 1 species